UUGGAGGGCAAGUCUGGUGCCAGCAGCCGCGGUAAUUCCAGCUCCAAUAGCGUAUAUUAAAGUUGUUGCAGUUAAAAGGCUCGUAGUUGAAUUUCGGAAUCUAUCCGUUGGUCGGGCUUCACUGUCCGUAUUGGUGUGAUGGGUUCUUACCUUCUGAAUAACCAGCAUGCCAUUCAUUUGGUGCGCUGGGGAAGCAGGACUAUUACCUUGAAAAAAUUAGAGUGCUCAAAGCAGGCUAGUGCCUGAAUACAUUAGCAUGGAAUAAUAAAAUAGGACGGCGUGGUUCUAUUUUGUUGGUUUCUAGGAUCACCGUAAUGAUUAAUAGGGAUAGUUGGGGGCAUUAGUAUUCAAUUGUCAGAGGUGAAAUUCUUGGAUUUAUUGAAGACCAACUUCUGCGAAAGCAUUUGCCAAGGAUAUUUUCAUUAAUCAAGAACGAAAGUUAGGGGAUCGAAGACGAUCAGAUACCGUCGUAGUCUUAACCAUAAACUAUGCCGACUAGGGAUCGGACGAUGUUAAUUUUUUAAUGACUCGUUCGGCGCCUUACGGGAAAC
rnacentral:rRNA from 1 species